rnacentral:rRNA from 1 species
GAUGAACGCUGGCGGCGUGCCUAAUACAUGCAAGUCGAGCGAACAGACGAGGAGCUUGCUCCUCUGACGUUAGCGGCGGACGGGUGAGUAACACGUGGAUAACCUACCUAUAAGACUGGGAUAACUUCGGGAAACCGGAGCUAAUACCGGAUAAUAUAUUGAACCGCAUGGUUCAAUAGUGAAAGACGGUUUUGCUGUCACUUAUAGAUGGAUCCGCGCCGCAUUAGCUAGUUGGUAAGGUAACGGCUUACCAAGGCAACGAUGCGUAGCCGACCUGAGAGGGUGAUCGGCCACACUGGAACUGAGACACGGUCCAGACUCCUACGGGAGGCAGCAGUAGGGGAACUUCCGCAAUGGGCGAAAGCCUGACGGAGCAACGCCGCGUGAGUGAUGAAGGUCUUCGGAUCGUAAAACUCUGUUAUUAGGGAAGAACAAAUGUGUAAGUAACUAUGCACGUCUUGACGGUACCUAAUCAGAAAGCCACGGCUAACUACGUG